UCUGAAUCUGCGUACGGCUCCGCAAACCAGUUGUAAACUAUAGCAAGCAAUCCCCGGCCGGCCUUCGGGUCGGCUGUAGUGGAUAACAAGGAUAACCCUGGUAAUUCUGAGGCUAAUACAAGGACGUGCUCCCCGGCUGACCGGCAACGGAAGGCUGGGGGGCGUGCAACGUAUCGUAAGGGAUAACCGGGAAUGGGUGCACGCUUGGACCGCGCUAAAGACAGAACUCGGUGAACCUUCGGGGGAGCCUUGGCCUGAGCGGCUCUUGCUGUGUGCUUCUGACCUAUCAACUAGACGGCAGCGUAAGGGACAUGCUAUGGU
rnacentral:rRNA from 1 species